rnacentral:rRNA from 1 species
GAUGAACGCUGGCGGCGUGCCUAAUACAUGCAAGUCGAGCGAACAGACGAGGAGCUUGCUCCUCUGACGUUAGCGGCGGACGGGUGAGUAACACGUGGAUAACCUACCUAUAAGACUGGGAUAACUUCGGGAAACCGGAGCUAAUACCGGAUAAUAUAUUGAACCGCAUGGUUCAAUAGUGAAAGACGGUUUUGCUGUCACUUAUAGAUGGAUCCGCGCCGCAUUAGCUAGUUGGUAAGGUAACAGCUUACCAAGGCAACGAUGCGUAGCCGACCUGAGAGGGUGAUCGGCCACACUGGAACUGAGACACGGUCCAGACUCCUACGGGAGGCAGCAGUAGGGAAUCCUCCGCAAAGGGCGAAAGCCUGACGGAGCAACGCCGCGUGAGUGAUGAAGGUCUUCGGAUCGUAAAACUCUGUUAUUAGGGAAGAACAAAUGUGUAAGUAACUAUGCACGUCUUGACGGUACCUAAUCAGAAAGCCACGGCUAACUACGUG